rnacentral:rRNA from 1 species
AGUGAACGCUGGCGGCAGGCCUAACACAUGCAAGUCGAACGGCAGCACAAGAGAGCUUGCUCUCUGGGUGGCGAGUGGCGGACGGGUGAGGAAUGCAUCGGAAUCUGCCCAUUUGUGGGGGAUAACCUCGGGAAACCGGGACUAAUACCGCAUACGACCUACGGGUGAAAGCAGGGGAACUUCGGACCUUGCGCAGAUGGAUGAGCCGAUGCCGGAUUAGCUAGUUGGAGGGGUAAAGGCCCACCAAGGCGACGAUCCGUAGCUGGUCUGAGAGGAUGAUCAGCCACACUGGGACUGAGACACGGCCCAGACUCCUACGGGAGGCAGCAGUGGGGAAUAUUGGACAAUGGGCGCAAGCCUGAUCCAGCCAUGCCGCGUGUGUGAAGAAGGCCUUCGGGUUGUAAAGCACUUUUGUUGGGAAAGAAAAGCAGCCGGUUAAUACCCGGUUGUCAUGACGGUACCCAAAGAAUAAGCACCGGCUAACUUCGUG